CCCCCUGUAGCUCAACGGCAGAGCGCUCGGCUGUAGACCGAGAGGUUGGGAGUUCAAAUCUCCCCGGGGGGA
rnacentral:tRNA from 1 species